AGAGACUCGAAAGACGACGUCAACGAAGCAAUGGCGGCGAGAGGUCUUGAAGAAGGACAUUGAAAUAACCGUGAACGAUGGAGAUUGGAAACCUAAAUCAAGAUCUCCUACUUCCAUAUCGGACAGAGCUGAUAUCGAGUGCCUGCAAGGGGAGACUGGCUACUGUCUGCAGUUUGUAGAGUGUAGCAAGCUCAUCUGCUGCUCUGAGGGUAAAGUCUCGACAUGAGAUCAUCUUAGAGCUCAUCUGCCAGUUUCACGGAGGUGAAGAAGUUGUCAGUCAUGAUGCUGCGUAAGGGCGAUGCAUCUGACAUCAGCUGCUGUGCAAGAGAACUGUUAGCAGUGCCCAGAUAGCAGUGUAGAAGGGGACGGGGGAUUCCCCACUGUAUAACAUGUUAUUCUGUAUCUUCAUAGUGUUACUCCAUAGGGCCGCAUGUCGUCAGUCCUUAGAAAACAGAAAGCCAUGCUGAUAUAAAGUAUCAUGCGAUCUCCGAAUAGUUUGUAUUUCACUUUCUUUUUGGCCGAAAGUAUCGUAAUACACCUGAACGACUCGCGAAUAACAUCGAGGGACACCCAGAAACUACUUAGUGUCUGAAAACUGGUGUUGCUUAGUAAAAAAUGACCCACACGGUACUACUAGUAUAACAGGUAAAUUUUUCAUACUUAUAGAUGAGCUAGAGGGAUGAUGGAAAAGUCAGGGGAGCUUUUGGUCCUGUGACGAUAUGGAGGGGGCGGCAGCCCUCGAAAAACCAUUGUGGGUCAAUAACCCACAUGGUACUUCUAGUGUUAAGGCUGUCACAAUAGUUCACGGGCAAACUGCCCGAUGUCAGUGUCGAACAGGUGCAAUAUUUCUGCAAACAACCACGUCGCCAUUACCAGGUGUGUUGAUAAACUAACUGAUAGGAGGCUGGCACUGUGCUUUUAUCUCCACUCCCUCGCCCUCCAAUUGGCCGCUCCGUCGACCGUCCACACAGUGUGCGUGCUGCCAGCACCUCUGAUGUUCCUCUACCUGCCCCCAAACUCAGUUUGAUGUCUGAGGUCUCUUUCCUCUUCUUGAGCAUUCUAGUAGCAGGGUCCUGUGCCUCAGUGAGGAUGUACCCACUAUCGAGAUUCAUCGAUGAUUCCAUUACUUGUAUCUCGACAGAUUCCUACAUGAUGCAGUGCCGGAAGUUGGACAUCUGUGUCAGAAAUUUGGUAUGGUCAUAAUCCAUUCCACGCAAUUCUGUGAGGCAACAUUCUGCAACUGCUGACUUACGAGGCUGCUGCAAUGUGAUGUCCCGUUGAUGUUCUCGGCACUGAUCUCCACAGUAUGCACUGUCUGACCUACAUACGUCUUACUGCAUUGACAGGGAAUCAGAUGGACCCUGGAUUUCCACAGUCUGAGGUUGCCUUCAUACUACUGACCAGUGCCCGUAUGUUAGCUGGUGGGCAGAAGACUGUCUUCACUCAGUGUUUCCGGAGAAUUCAUCCUAUCUUCCCAGAUAAAGUGCCACAAAAAGGAAUAUAUGCAAUGGCUGCAUCCUCCUGAGAAACAUCUUCUGGUUUCACGAGUUGUACAGAGGGCAUAGAACAUAGGGCUCUCCGAAAUUUCCACUUCUUGUAGCCACUCUUCCAAAAAAACUGCUGUCAGAUGUUAAAGUUCUUAGUCGAGGCAUUGAUUGGCAGACAGGGUUUGAGCCCUAUGUAGCAAAGUUUUGAGCACCCCACUUGUCUUAAUUGGCUGGUGGCAGCUGUCCACCUGUAAGUAUAGGUCUGUGUACACCUUUUAUGUUGCUAAUGUGAAUUGCACUAAAAAUUACACUUUGCAAUCUGCCAAAAACGUCCUCUUCUUAAUCUCUUUACCACCUGCUUAUAUAAAUGAAGUGUUUACAUUGCAUUAUUAACAUAAUAAUUUCUGUAAUUAGUACAUUUGAAAAAAUAACAUAGUUUAUGUGACAAAAUUAUUUUAAAAAAUUAGAGGCAAUAAAACUGGUUGUGAGUGACAGUAAAUAUAUGAACAUAAUGCUUUAGGCAUUUGGUGUUACGAAAAUCAUGUAUACAUAAGAUACGGAUCGUGUUCUUCAGAAGUAUUAUCUUACGACAUAUUGAUACAGUAAACUGCGGUCGAGUGCAGUAUCGGUAGAUUCCUAUUGUGUAUCCACAUUAAGUUACAUUUCAACAUCCGUAUCUCAUCACAGAAUGUGGAGGUCAGAAACUUGCCCAUUCUGUAAAGCACUGUGGCUGAUCUAAUGACAAAAUACAAUGUCAGUGCAGGCACACAUGGUUUGGAGCACACUGUUUAGCACACAUUGUUGAAUGUGGAGCUCUGCAGCAGAUGUCCCCUGCUGAGUCAAUGACACUGUCAAUUACAUCUGCAGUGGGGAUAUUAUCAUUAGAAUUGGACCACGCAUCAAUGGAAACACUUCACCCGGUCUGAUAGAUCGACGGUCGCAUUCGGACAUUGCACAUUAUGAAAGAACACAGGUGUGUGUGGCAGUAUUGUGCUCUGAGAGACAUGCACCUGGGGUUCUCUCAGACCUGUGGCAGUAAUCAAAGGUGCCGUGACAGCUUUCAACUACCUGAACAUUACUGUGGACCACUGUCUUAAUAUCUGAUGUGUUCCACAAGGGAGAUGGUAUUUGUCUGAGUCACACGGCCAGAAUCGUGCUACUGUGGUUUGAGAAGCAUGAUGGUAGGCUCAUGGUUAUAUAUUGGUCAUGAAAUUUGCCCGAUCUGAACCCAAGGAAUACAUCUAAAACUGGAUUUCCAGCAUGCUGGGAUGCUGAAUGGUCAGCACUUUCCCUUACUAUGUCAAUGUGACAAACAGCCAAAGAUGCAAAAUAGCUCUUUUUACACUCGAUUAAGACUAAUUUCGAGUUUUUAUUCUUAACCCAUUCUCAAGUCACACUGUGAAAUUACAGGCUAAAAUAACAAUUUGUUACAUAAAGUGCCAAAUAGUCAGUGUGUGUCACAAAGUACAUUGUCUAGCAUAUCAAAAUAUGUACAUUCCAAUCAGAAUUAAUAUUACUCCACACAGAAAAAAAGCAUGACAGCUGUUAUCCAAAUGAGUAGAAUGUAAGUGAUCAUGAAACAGAAUAAAAACAGGAACCAAUAGCCUAACUUGUCAGCACGAGGAAAUUUCCCUGCAGAUGGCACCCCUAUCGAAGAUGUAGGGAAGUCAUUAUUGCAUUCCAUAAACAUCAUCAAUACAACAAAAUAACAGAUACAGAGUGUAUAAGUCACGCCGCUAACAAAUUAUACAUCUUUCUUUAUACAGAGUCUCUUACAUUGAAAUAGGAGGGUAAACUAUUAAUAAGGCAACAUACAGUGCCACACUUGACUGUUAUAUCCACAGCACCAUGAUUCAUUGUCUGUGUUGACUUUGGUGCCAAAAUCCAGAUCAUUUUCUGACAUUUCUUUCAAUUCCCUGUACAUGUACAAACUAUUAUUUCUCUCACUGUCAGAAAGCACACACAGAAUGAAGUUUGCUGUUGUAUGUUUCAUCUUCAGUAAAAUUUAAUUGGUAUGAACUUCACAAUAUUCCAUUCUAUCCACCAAUUUACAGAUUGUUCCCCCACAAUCAAAUAUGAUCACAUCACAGACGUUUCAAUGUUUUCGUCUGUUCGGGAAGUCGACAGAUGUCCCAGUUGUGAUUUAUCUUCAAUUGACAUUUGAGCAAUUUUAAAAUGAGAAAACAACUCUUCAACCCUUGCCUGCCCAAAACUCCCUCCCAAUCAGCCAUCUGAAGCAUUGCGAUGGUUUCUGCUGCUGAUUUCCUCAACAGGAAAUGGAAUUCAACAUUACCAUUUAAUGUCUGCCACUGAAUAAUUCCCAAACAAGUGAAAGAAUUUUUAUAAAAACAAUCACACAGACCACAAUAACAUCUCCAGCAUAAUGCUGCUAGAGAAACUGAUACAGAAUGGUGUCCAGUGAAGGCAUCUAGCAGGGGAAUUUUGAACUAGUGUUCUAGUCACUGCUGGAGAAGAAUUCUUGUUUCUUUUGGGUCCCCCGGAUAUUCACAGAUUCUUCGCUUAAAAACACUUCUUGGAUUUCAAAUGGUAAUUGGCAUUUAUCUUCAAGCAUCUCCCAGUUGAGAAUUUUCCGGAUUUCCCUAAUGUUCUCCAUGAGUCGAACGAAACUAUCAUUCACGUUGGUCUUCCUAGCAUAAAUUCAAUAUCUUCUGUUAGUGCUCUUUGGUAUGUGUCACACACACUUGAGUGGUAUUCUAGAAUGGGGUCACAAAAGAGCACUGUAAGCAAUCACCUUUAUGGACUGUAUUUUUGCAGUAUCCUACUAAUGAACCGAAGUCUGUCACCUGGAUUGUUUAUAAAUGGGGCUAUGUGAUCAUUCCAUUUCAUAACUCCUCGAACUGUUAAACUCAGGUUUUAAUAAGAACUGAUUAGGGGCUCAUUUUCAUUAUGUUUUGUACCUGCUGAUAAAUACAAACAAUCUGAGUACUCAAUACCUACAAAUAUUCUGAGUGCCCGAUAUAAUUAGAAGAACAAGAUUACUUGAGACACUGACAAUUUUAAAAUUUUGAGUAAGUACAUUUUUUAAAUUUUGGGAAGACAUUUAAAAUUAUUCUUCUUAUUAACAUAACUAGUUCUGUAUUGUGAAAGGUAAAAAGAAAAUAUUUGUAACACAAACUAUUAAUCACUUACCGAUUUCUGUGAAUGUAAAAAACCUAUUUCUGAAACUAACAAUAAUAAGUAAAGUAUAGAUAGCUACUCACCACAUAGAGGAGAUGUCGAGUCACAGAUGAGCACAAUGAAAAAAUACUGCUAAAAUAUUUAAGCUUUCGUCAAUGUCCUCCAGAAGGACCUUGUUAGAAAGCUUAUGUAGUUUAGCAGUCUUUUUCAUUGUGUCUGAGACUCUUCCUUUAUUUUAUCUUUGAAAAUAAUUAUAUUAGUAAUUUGUAUAGUUGGUAAGUUUUUGCAUCUGUGGUUUUGUGUUUGUCUUAUCAGUCACAGUACAUUCUUGGUGCCUAGGGAAACAUGAUGGUUCACUUGUUUUGACAUACUUGUCAAGUUGUGGUACAAAAUGUAAGAUUACUGUAAAUAGGAUAGGUAUGAUUUAUAGUAAAUAUUAAUAUUAAAAACAGAAACUGAACCUAUUUAUUCUACCGCAACCAACAGAAAUAAAUAACGUUUCUAGGCAAUUGAGUGUACAUGAAGAAAAAACUACAAUGGACUUUGACAACAAAUUUAAGUUAAACUAAUUACAUCCGAUAAUUGUUAUCCCAGUAAUAUAGAGAUGUUUCCUCUAUUUUAUAGUGGUGCAGCAUAUUGGAGAAAAACAACCCAAAUCAAAUUGUUGUGAAUGAGGUUUGGGAAGACAUUUUUAUAAUUUUAUGCAAUUCAAAGUCAUUAAAAGUGGAAAACAUUAUAUAAUAUUUGAAUGACUUGGCUGAUCCAAGUGUGACUCACUGAUAUUGUAGUAUUAUGAUACCAUACUAUGUUUUAAGGUUUUGUCAAAUGUACAGGUUUACAUGUCUGAACAUUUAAAUCAAGUUGCCAACUUCUG